rnacentral:rRNA from 1 species
AACGAACGCUGGCGGCAGGCUUAACACAUGCAAGUCGAACGCCCCGCAAGGGGAGUGGCAGACGGGUGAGUAACACGUGGGAACGUACCCUUUUCUACGGAAUAACCCAGGGAAACUUGGACUAAUACCGUAUGUGCCCUUCGGGGGAAAGAUUUAUCGGAAAAGGAUCGGCCCGCGUUGGGUUAGCUAGUUGGUGGGGUAAAGGCCUACCAAGGCGACGAUCCAUAGCUGGUCUGAGAGGAUGAUCAGCCACAUUGGGACUGAGACACGGCCCAAACUCCUACGGGAGGCAGCAGUGGGGAAUAUUGGACAAUGGGCGCAAGCCUGAUCCAGCCAUGCCGCGUGAGUGAUGAAGGCCUUAGGGUUGUAAAGCUCUUUCACCGGAGAAGAUAAUGACGGUAUCCGGAGAAGAAGCCCCGGCUAACUUCGUGCCAGCAGCCGCCGUAA